rnacentral:lncRNA from 1 species
UUUGGACCAGCACACUGCCUUAGCUGUAAGUUCUUGAACAUUUCUUUAAACGUUUUUAAAAGGUUUUUGUUUUUUUAAAAAGAAAGCUGUUCUGGUUUUACAAUGUAAGAGGUUAUAGAAAAAUCUCAAAUGAACUCAAUCUCGUUCUGAGAUAAAAAUCUUGAAUGCCUUUAUUUCUGUUGUUGGUCACAGUUGUUUUAUGUUGAAAAGUGUUAUUACUGAAAAAUUGGGGGAGCGUGGAGGAAACACAGUACUUGGAAAUUGAGU